CCCCCCCCGCCCCAUCUCAGGGCUUUGAUGUGGGUUUUCUCACUCAAUAUAAUUUCCCCAGAAUAUCCAUUCACUUUUUAAGCUUUUAAGACCAUCUAUAGCCCAGUAACCCCUAGAUUCAAAGCUCAUCUUGACUUCUCCCCAGAGAUGCUGUCUUAGAUACCUGACUCAAGAGUUUUUUUACUUGAAUUUCUGAUCAUCAUCUUAUGUUGAAUUUUCUCAAGAGAGAAUUCUUGGUUCUCCUUCCUGCUAAGAUUUCAUGUCAGGACAGGGUCGUGUCUGCCAGGUGCUGGGAGUUCCCCUUAUUUCCUUCUUUGCCCACACCUCUGGGUCCAGGCCCUUCGGACGUCCUGUAAGUGCUGCUUCCGAAGUGCAGCCAUUUCUCUCCCCUGGUGCCAAUACUCUGGUCCAGACUAACCCGCACUCCCCUUCCUACUACUCACCACUCUCAACUCAUUUUGUUACUUGAUUUCCAUUUUUAUUGUCUGUUUCUACCCUUAGAAUUGCGCCUCUUGACGUCUGGUUUGCACUGGGCUCGUCAUCACCCGGCACAAGCGUGGCACUGCGGAAGUGCUCAGAUAGUCUGGACCAACAGAUCAGUGUCCUUCCUCAGAUGCACCACAUUCUCCCUUUGUGCCUUUAUUUUACCUGAAGAGGACAAAGUGGAGUUCUCACUGUGGGGAGGAUGCUGCCUUUCAGUGGAGCCUCCUUUGAUUUCAGUAAGCCCGGAAUACAGUGAGUGUCAUUGCUUCUCUCUGAGUUACGUGUCUUGCCCAGGGUCCCAAAGCCAGGCUGUCCUUAGCAGAGCCUAGGGGUAUAGUGUGAACUCUGCAGGCUGGGACCCUGCUCCUAAUCCUGGCUCUACCACUAACUGGCUCUGUGACCUUGUGCAAGUUAAUUCACUUCUCCAUACCUCAGCUUUCUCAUCUGUAAAAUGGGCAAUAAAAAGCAUACCUCCCUCAUGGGA